AAUACCUGACUUUAUUUUGUAAAGUGAAGCGCAAGAGAUUUACGGAAGUAGAAAUGUAAGAAAAUGCUGUGGAUGAACAGGGCUCUGGAGCUCUUUCAAAAGUUUUCCUGUGCUUCAGGUUACGGUCAGAGAUAGAUGGAGAUCCAAAGCCGUCAGCUACACUUUUACUUUCUUAGUUACAAUUUUUCCUCAAGAGUUUAACGUGGUGGUUCUAAUGAAGCAAUAGUUGGUUGAAUUUCGAGAUGAUUUUGUAGCAGAACUUUUAUUCGAUCCACCCUGUCUCUCAUGUUGUUGUAUGCGCGUUCUGUAUUAUUAAAGCUGGCAUGAAGAGACUCUGCUCCCUGUUCACCCAUCAUGGCACAUCCCACUUUCCAUUGAUUCAACCAUGGAAUAAGGUGGUCCUCCAUGAAGUGUAGCUUGGGUGUGAAAGUAGCUGAUAGAAAUGCAGACCUGUAGUACUGCACGAAGCAUUUAAUUGAUUCAUCUAGAGAUAUGAUAGAUACCUUCAGAGCUCUAUGAAUGUGGUUUCCAACGAAUGACCCACCAUGGUAUGCUUGCCUCUCAACUUUAAAUGAAGCAAGAGCUACAUCAAGAGACCGAACAAAAACCCCAUCUUCUUUAUCAAAACCUUUUCUUAGAACUGCCUGCUGCUUCAUUAUCUCAUUUUCCUAAGUUAGCAAUCCUAUUUAUGCUAUCAAUAAUAAGUUUUGAUGUGGAUAUGACUACUGGAUUGUGUUGAUGGUCUUGUGUAGUCAAGAGUUGUAGCUUAAGGUACUGGUUGGCAAUGUUCACUUCAUUAUGAAGUGAUAAUUUCUCAGUUUCCAUUGCUCUCUCUGAUAUCUUUGCUGUCAUGUACUGCUAAAAAGAGAAAUUCUGGGAUGACCUAGCAGUGGUAAUCUGUUUGUCCAGAGAAUGGCAUUCCUCUUCUAACAAGUUGAAGAGUCUUCGAAAAACUCCUAGUGUAAUAUGGAGUCCAGGUGGGCAAACCUAUAUUGAGUUGUUUUAGUUACGUUAUUUGUGCAUAGCUAAAAAAUUUACUUGUGUUAGCGGUAUGUGAAAAAAGUGCUUCCAAUUACAUUAUCAUAAAAUUUGGCCUUUUUGAGGUCUCCACCAGCUUUCAAAAAUUCAUUAUGCUUAUCCCUCAGUGUAGUUAAUGAUCUUAUUUGUGGUUGUCUGUUACUCUUUGGGGUCCCUAACUCCUCUGAUUUUAUAGAGCACCACAGACAACAGUGACGGCCUAUUUAUGCAUAAAUACUACUUUUAUAUUUAGUGUACAGUGUAUACCACUAGCUCCUGACAAUCCAUAUAAGUGGCAUAGCAAUUGGUAGUCUCCAAAGAGAAAUAUCCGUAUACUGUAGCUCCUAUCAUUGUUACAGAUGUUACAAAUAAUUUUUUUCUUUAUUUACCUCCAAGUAGAAUUCUGGAUAUCAUGUGUCACAUCAGAAUAUUUGUCCAGAGCAAUAUGUAGAUUAACAACAGAGUCUGGUCCUUCAAAUAAGGCAAAGACAAGACUGUUGUGGACAGAGUUGGGUUUUUCUACAUUUACAAUCUGGAGAGACAUCUUAAAAGAUGUCCCACCCUUAUCGAAUCCUAUCUUGACCCAGACCUCAUUUGGUGGUAUCUUGUUAUGCCAGAAUACCUUUCAUUCUCAUCCAACAAGUGGUAAAUCAGUGCCUUUAAGUCUCACACAUAUCCCAUUGCUGAAGGUCUCAGCUCACGACCUCCACUUUUAGUAUCAAAAC